rnacentral:lncRNA from 1 species
UAGUCUUCAGCUUAAAUAGUCAACAACUACUCCUAAAAUCGUGGCACUAUUUAAGUAAAUCGUGACACGUUUCUUCUUGUGUAACAAACCACACAAAUUAGGGUUUCCAUAAUUGUGUCACGUUUUUGCCAUCGUGACACGUUUUCACCAAUGUCGAAUGCAUUUUUCUUGAAAGCUUCAAAUCGUGACACGUUUUUCAGUUAAUAGUGACACGAUGCCCUUUUUUUAGUUUCUUCAGUUUUUCUUGGUUUUCUUGCUGCUUAAGCUUGCUUGUGAACUCAAAAAUUACAUAAAAAGACUCUAAAAAUAACGAAUGACUAACUGUCAUCAAUGAGAAAUGAUAAUGUUUAUAUGUUAGUGAUGAUGAGGAUGACGAUAACUAUAUCAGUAUGAUGAUAAGAGUAAUGAUGUUUAUCUAUGAUGAUGAUGAGGGUGGUAUAUAUAUAUUGACGAUGAGAAUGAUGACGUAUAAUUAUGAUGAUGACUUGAAUGAUGGUGUCUAAUAUACAUUGAUGAUGAGAAUGACGAUGUUUACUUAUGAUGACGAUGUGAAUGAUGAUGAUAUGUUUGUCUUGAUGUUGU